GGGGUGUCCGGGGGGUCAUGGGGUGUCCAGGGGGUCACGGAGUAUGGAAUGUUGGGGACGGGGCGUUAUGGGGUGUCCCCGGGGUCGUUGGGAACCUGGAAUGCGGUGAUGGGGUGUCCCUGGGCAUGGAAUGCUGGGGAAGGGGGUUAUGGGGUCCUUGGGGUGUCCUAGGGGUACUAAGAGCAUGGAAUGCUGGGAGGAGGGGGGCUGUGGGGAGUCCCUGGGAUGCUGGGAGCGUGGGAUGCUGGGGAGGGAGGUAUGGGCUGUCCUUGGGGUGCUGGGAGUAUGGAAUGUUGGGGAGGGUUAUGGGAUGUCCCUGGGGGUAAUGGAAGCAUGGAAUGCUGGGGAGGGAGGUAUGGGGUGUCCUCGAGGUGCUGGGGACAUGGAAUGUUGAGAAGGGGUUAUGGGGUGUCCUUGAGGUGCUGGGAGCACGGAAUAUUGGGGAGGGGGUGUUAAAGGAUGUCUCUGGAGUGCGGGGAGCAUGGAAUGCUCCGGGAGGGGUGGUUAUGGGGUGUCCCUGGGGUGCUGGGAGCAGGGAAUGCUGGGGAGGGGAGGUUAUAGGGUGUCCCCGGGGGUGCUGGGAACAGAGGGACUCCCACCCCCCCUUUCCUCUUCCACGCCCAGCACGGGGGUUUGGUGGUUUUGGGGUCACUGGGGAGGUGCUGGACACCCCUUCUUGGUGCUGCUCUUGUCCUGUGUCCUUCCACAGCCACUGGAAAACGGGGAACCCCACGUGUGGGGGUGGGAACGUCCCUGUGCAGCGGGGAGGGGACGGGGCAGGGGAGAUAACGGGGUUUUUCCGGCACCGCUUCCCCAAGGACACAACGGCCCCGGAGCCAAAACAGCUCCGGCUGCCCCAAGGACGGGCGGAGCUUCCCCAGCCGGGAUUAUCCAGCAGCGCUGGGAGCUCAGGGCUUUGGGAACGACCCCAAAUCCCACCUCUCAGCCCCCAAACCCCCUCCCCCCCGCCGUGUGCUCCCGAAGGACGCCCCGGGAGCGGCCGACUUUUCCCAUGUUUUAUUUGUGUUUUGAGAUUACAGAGUCUUUAUUGCUGAUCUAAUACAAUCACUCAGACAUUAAUAUUUAAAACAUCCUUUUGAAAUGUUGCGGGUGCGACGGUUCCGUUCCCUCCCUGCUGAUGACGGGUUUUGCUUUGUUAUUCCUAAAAGUUCAGGACAGAAUUAAAUUUAUUUUAUUCCUUAUUUUGCUGGUGUUACCUAAAAAUCUCCUUUUUUUUUUCCUAAAGUCUUGGAAAAAAAACCAAACAAACGCGUUACAUUUAAAAAAAAAACAAACAAAAAAAAAGAUAAAAGAAACCAAACCCCAUUAACAUUUAAUUUAGAGAUGAUCACAGGAUAUGAUUCCAGGUUGAUUAGGAAAAAGCCAAGCGAGCCAAGAAGCUUUACAGGAGCAGCAGAACACGGAGAAGAGUUUGGAGAACCGAGGUGGGAAAGGCCAGGUGGGAUUUUAUUACUGAUAUUUUAUUUUUUUUCCCCCUUCUUGUCUACCUGGAAGAUGAGACGGGCACGGAGGGAUCCGUGGAUCAGCAGCACCACUGGCUGCGGCACGAGCGACGGACACGGGGCGGGAAGCGGCGGCGGGAGCUGCUCCGGAGGGUCCUGGGGGUGGAGAGGGGUUUUCCCGGGGUGGGUGGGACACCCGUUCUUCCAGGAGCUGCUCCCACGUGGCCCCACAGCCGCCUGUCCCCUUGUCCAGGAGCAGAUUCCAGGUGGGGCCUCUCCAGGAACUCGGGGCUGACACAGACCAGGGCGGAUCCGGCGCGGGGAGAGACCCGGACGGGACGUUUCCAACGGCUCAGGGGACUCUUCCCAAAAAAAGCUCAGGAUCUGGGUAAAACUCGUGGGCAGAGAUGACUUCAGGUCUGUGGUUCCAGGUCAGUCUGUGAUGAAGCUCCUCAAGGCCUUAAGGUCUCCUCAGAGCCUUCUCAAAGCCCUCAGGUCUCCUCAAAGCCUGAACAUCUUCCCAAGGUCUUCCCAAGGCCUCCUCAAGGUCUCCCAAGGUCUCCAAAGGUUUUCCUUCCAGGUUUUGAGAGAAUUCAGAGACAAACUUGGAAUAUGCUGACACAGGGAACGUUUGCUCCAAAGCUCACGACCCGAGAACCACGGGAAGAACUUGGAUGCCGAGACCGUAAUUCCACAGUUUUUCCUUCCUUGUGCGUGAACGAGCUGCCACAAAAGGGUUUUUCAUGAUGGCAAAGAAGCCCAGGAGGACAAAACACGACUCUGUAGCUGAUGAGAGACUCGGGAACCAAAGCAGCAGCCAGGGGAUAAAGGGGUUUGUGCUCACGGGGUCGGGCAGUUUUAUUUUAGACGGAUCAUGUUCUCCACGUGGAUAAUGAAAGCGACUUGGGAAGUCACCUUGGGAAGCGUGUCAGUGCUCCAGAGGGACAUCCUGGGAUAAAGCAAGGAAUCAUGGCCAAUCCCUCAGCUCUGAUGCUUCAAGAUCUGAGGCGACUGAAGGGUUUCAGUGACACUGAAUCCGUGUGGAGGAUCCUCCACCAGACGUCUCAUCCACUCCAGGGGGGGGUUCCCAGAUCCAUAAAUAAAGUAAUGAAAUAAUCAACCCAGAAAAGAAAACUCCAAACACUUCCAACGAGGACUGAAACGCAGCUGGAGAAAGCCCUGGCGUGGACGGGGGUCCCCCCAGCCGGGAUGUCCGGGGAGCUCUGCCCGGCUCGGGAAGAGCUCCCGGUGCAUGAGCAGCAUCUGCCGGGGGAGCUCUUCCAGCAGCACAGCGGGAGCUGCCCCGGCCCCCCCGGGAACACGGCUUUGGUUGAUCCAGAGAGGUUGGCACUGGGAACGAGAGCAGCAGGAAAACGCUGCGGAGCUGCGGGAGCGGCGCUGGGCUCUGCCCGCCCGGCUCCUCCCUGCCCGGCUCCUUCCCACAGCUUCCAGCAGCGCUAAGGCGACGUUCUCCAGAGGGUUGGUGGCACCAGCCCUCGGAAAGUUCCACAGCACGGACGAGAGGCUUCUCCAGAGGGAUCCACCGGGGCGGCUCCGGAUGGGCGGCAGCAUCCGGCCCCUCGCCGGAGAGAACGAGGUUUUUGGCUUCGUCAUCAAACAGCAGGAGAAAUUCAAACCCAUCCCGGGAUCCCGCGCCGCUGGAAGCAGCGCUGGGACAUGGAGGGGACCAACGUCGACUUCCGAGUCGGACCGUGUGGCUCCACCGGCGACAACGGACUGUCCCAUGGCUCGAUCCCACCAGCUCCUUCCUCAUCCUCCCAGCCCCGAGAAAGAACGAAUCCAAAGAGGAAAACGAAAGGAACGGAAAAGAAAUCCAGCGUGUCCCAGUCCCGCGGCAGCACGAACACCAGUGGCAGAGGCCGCAUGAACAGUAUCCUAAUUUAAUAAAUAAAUAA